rnacentral:rRNA from 1 species
CAAUAGCGUAUAUUAAAGUUGUUGCGGUUAAAAAGCUCGUAGUUGGAUUUCUGUUGGGAACGACCGGUCCGCCCAUUGGGUGUGUAUCUGGCUUGUUCUCGGCAUCUUCUUGGUGAACGUUGCUGCACUUGACUGUGUGGAGCGCUACCCAGGACUUUUACUUUGAGGAAAUUAGAGUGUUUCAAGCAGGCAUAUGCCUUGAAUACAUCAGCAUGGAAUAAUAAGAUAGGACCUCGGUUCUAUUUUGUUGGUUUCUAGAGCUGAGGUAAUGAUUAAUAGGGAUAGUUGGGGGCAUUCGUAUUUAACUGCCAGAGGUGAAAUUCUUGGAUUUGUUAAAGACGGACUACUGCGAAAGCAUUUGCCAAGGAUGUUUUCAUUGA